rnacentral:rRNA from 1 species
AUUGGACGCUGGCGGAAUGCUUUACACAUGCAAGUCGAACGGCAGCACGGACUUCGGUCUGGUGGCGAGUGGCGAACGGGUGAGUAAUGUAUCGGAACGUGCCCAGUCGUGGGGGAUAACGUAGUGAAAAUUACGCUAAUACCGCAUACGAUCCAUGGAUGAAAGCGGGGGAUCGCAAGACCUCGCGCGAUUGGAGCGGCCGAUAUCAGAUUAGGUAGUUGGUGGGGUAAAGGCCCACCAAGCCAACGAUCUGUAGCUGGUCUGAGGGGACGACCAGCCACACUGGAACUGGGACACGGUCCAGACUCCGACGGGAGGCAGCAGUGGGGAAUUUUGGACAAUGGGCGAAAGCCUGAUCCAGCCAUUCCGCGUGCAGGAUGAAGGCCCUCGGGUUGUAAACUGCUUUUGUACAGAACGAAAAGGUUUCUACUAAUACUAGGAGCUCAUGACGGUACUGUAAGAAUAAGCACCGGCUAACUACGUGCCAGCCGCCGCCGUAA